GGGGGGGGGGGGGGGGGGGGGGGGGGCGGGGGGGGCGGGGGGGGGGGGGGGGUGCGGGGUGGGGGCGGGUGGCGGGCGGGUGGGGAGUGCAUCGGGGCGGGCCGGGUGGGGGGGGGUGGCUCGGCGAGAGCCGGCUUAAUACCGCAUACGCCCUGGGUGUGACAGCGGGUGGUCUUCGGACCUCGCGCUAUUGGCGCGGCCGAUGGCAGAUUAGCUAGUGGGUGGGGUAAAGGCCUACCCAGGCGACGAUCUGUCGCUGGUCUGAGAGGACGACCAGCCACACUGGGACUGAGACACGGCCGAGACUCCUACGGGAGGCAGCAGUGGGGAAUUUUGGACAAUGGGCGAAAGCCUGAUCCAGCAAUGCCGCGUGUGUGAUGAAGGCCUUCGGGUUGUAAAGCACUUUUGGCGGGAACGAAAAGGACUGUGCCAAUACCACGGUUCGAUGACGGUACCCGCAGAAUAAGCACCGGCUAACUACGUG
rnacentral:rRNA from 1 species